rnacentral:rRNA from 1 species
AAGCGUUGUUCGGAAUUACUGGGCGUAAAGGGCUCGUAGGUGGCCAACUAAGUCAGACGUGAAAUCCCUCGGCUUAACCGGGGAACUGCGUCUGAUACUGGAUGGCUUGAGUUUGGGAGAGGGAUGCGGAAUUCCAGGUGUAGCGGUGAAAUGCGUAGAUAUCUGGAGGAACACCGGUGGCGAAGGCGGCAUCCUGGACCAACACUGACGCUGAGGAGCGAAAGCCAGGGGAGCAAACGGG